rnacentral:rRNA from 1 species
CCUACGGGAGGCAGCAGUGGGGAAUAUUGCACAAUGGGGGAAACCCUGAUGCAGCAACGCCGCGUGGGUGAAGGAGCGUUUCGGCGCGUAAAGCCCUGUCAGCGGGGACGAAGAAAUACGGUACCCGACCAAUAAUCCCGGCUAACUACGUCCCAGCAGCCGCGGUACUAAGUAGGGGGCGAGCGUUAUCCGGAAUUACCGGGUGUAAAGGGAGCGUAGCCGGCGAGGUAAGCCUGAAGUGGAAGCCCGGGGCCCAACCGCGGAACUGCUUUGGGAACUGUGUUGCUGGAGUAUGGGAGGGGUAAGCGGAAUGCCUGGUGUAGCGGUGAAAUGCGUAGAUAUCAGGAGGAACACCGGUGGCGAAGGCGGCUUACUGGACCAUAACUGACGUUGAGGCUCGAAAGCGUGGGGAGCGAACAGGAUUAGAUACCCCUGUAGUA